AUUGAACGCUCGCGGGAUGCUUUACACAUGCAAGUCGAACGGCAGCGCGGACUUCGGUCUGGCGACGAGUGGCGAACGGGUGAGUAAUGUAUCGGAACGUGCCCAGUAGCGGGGGAUAACUACGCGAAAGCGUAGCUAAUACCGCAUACGCCCUACGGGGGAAAGCAGGGGAUCGUAAGACCUUGCACUAUUGGAGCGGCCGAUAUCGGAUUAGCUAGUUGGUGAGGUAACGGCUCACCAAGGCGACGAUCCGUAGCUGGUUUGAGAGGACGACCAGCCACACUGGGACUGAGACACGGCCCAGACUCCUACGGGAGGCAGCAGUGGGGAAUUUUGGACAAUGGGGGCAACCCUGAUCCAGCCAUCCCGCGUGUGCGAUGAAGGCCUUCGGGUUGUAAAGCACUUUUGGCAGGAAAGAAACGUCGCGGGCUAAUACCCCGUGGAACUGACGGUACCUGCAGAAUAAGCACCGGCUAACUACGU
rnacentral:rRNA from 1 species